UUUAGAGCAAAGUCAUGUUCCAGAGGCAGAAUUCAGCAGCCAGAGCAAUUUUUAAAAGUCUGCUGGAGUUUGCUGGAGGUCCACUCCAGACCCUAUUUGCCUUGGUGUCACCAGCAGAGGCUACAAAAGAGCAAAGAUUGCUGCCUGUUCUCUCUGAAAGUUUCACACUAGAGGAGCACCCACCAGAUGCCAGCUGGAGCUUUCCGAAAGCUGCUGACCAUCUGCUAUUCCUAAGACUUUGGACACCGUGGAGAAAGAGUAAUAGUGCAUUUAUGAUUGUUCUAGGAAACAAGAAGCCAAGAAUUAGACAAAUUGGCUGGGCACGGUGGCUCAUGCCUGCAAUCCCAGCACUUUGGGAGGCCAAGAAUAGAGUGCCUGAGGAGUGGAGUGGGCUACCACCAUUGCUGUUCCUACAUCCCAGCUGGGCCAGCCUGCAGGCCUUGGAGAGGCCAAACUGA
rnacentral:lncRNA from 13 species